UAUUUAAAUAGCUUAUAAAGAGUAUAGUAUUGAAGAUAUUAGGGAGAUAAUUUUUAUCUUUAAAUAUU
rnacentral:tRNA from 1 species